GUUCAUGUAUGAAAAGUUCGCUAUUUGUUGCAUUUAUGAUAAAAUUUUGGCAGGAUUUUACCGAGUACAAAUCCUCCUAAAAGCCUAUGAAAUCGUUACAUUUUUCUCUGUUGGUGCUGUUCUUGCUUCAUUAUGAAAUCAUUUUUACUCCCAUGAGAGUUGCAUGGAAUUUCCAUGGAAUUUGUGCUUUCGAGUUGUUUGUGCUGAAACGCAUUUUCUCGUAUAAUACCCCGUACACUUUGAAAUGGCGAUGCCACAAUUUACCCAGCAGCAGAGAGCUUUUAUGGUAUCAUGCAGAGUUCCUUCGUAGCAACAACAUAAACUUGGUUCGCCAAAGUUUCACGAAAGAAUAUCCAGAUGUACGAUGCGAAUACGUGAAGGGCAUCGUACAUCUGGAUAUUCGUUCGUGAAACUUUCUCUGCUGCGGGGUAAAUUGUGACAUCGCCAUUUCAAAGUGUACGGGGUAUUAUACGAGAGAAUGCGUUUCAGCACAAACAACUCGAAAGCACAAAUUCCAUGGAAAUUCCACGGAACUCUCAUGGGAGUAAAAAUUAAUUCAUAAUGAAGCAAGAACAGCACCAACA
rnacentral:lncRNA from 1 species